UACGUAAGGGGCAAGCGUUGUCCGGAAUCACUGGGCGUAAAGCGCACGUAGGCGGUUUAGUAAGUUGAGGGUGUAAGCUCCAGGCUUAACCUGGAAAUUGCCUCCAAAACUACUUUACUUGAGUAUUAGAGGGGAAGCUGGAAUUCACGGUGUAGCGGUGAAAUGCGUAGAUAUCGUGGAGAACACCCGUGGCGAAGGCGGGCUUCUGGCUAAUGACUGACGCUGAGGUGCGAAAGCUAGGGGAGCGAACGGG
rnacentral:rRNA from 1 species